UGGUGGAGUGAUUUGUCUGGUUAUUCCGUUAACGAACGAGACCUCAGCCUGCUAAAUAGUUUGCGUUUUCUCACGAAAGCGUAGUUACUUCUUAGAGGGACAUUUCGGUUUUACCGGAAGGAAGUUUGAGGCAAUAACA
rnacentral:rRNA from 1 species